GACAAGAGGCUGCAUCAGGCUGCAUCCACACUGGAGAAAGAACCGGGUAGGAACUGUCUGGCCCUCUAAGAUGCUGUUGUGUGUCAAUUUCCAGCAGGCUUAUAUCAGCAAAUACAGAUGAAGAUACCUGGUAGUUUCAGUUCUGCAAUAGCUGGUGGACCACACAUUUCCACCCCUGCUUUAAAAGAUCUGUCCUGUAUUACUUUACACCAGUGGUGCUCAAUUUUUUAUCUUCAUGGAUAAAAAGAUAAAAAUUCUGAAGAUGAAUAGUUCACUCUGUCCCAGAAUAAAUGGAGGAGUUAUCCAUAAGAUCAGUUCAAAGAAGAUAUUUAUGGUUCAUUGUCUCUUGCAGCACUGACGCACAAGGUCUGCACUGAAAAGAAAUUUCACAACUGUCUACCACUGCUGGGAUGAGCAACUUGAUACCAUUAUGGUUUACUCUCUCCCAGUUAUUUACAGAAAGACUAGAUAAAUGGGAGAUGCUUAUCAUGUAAAAAGGAGAAUUGAAGAAGACCUAUAAAUUUGGCAAAGCCUACACAAGUAUUUUUAAGAAGGAUGUUGUAGAUAUUGUUGUUUAAACAUGGGGGUUGUCCCAAAGCACAUAACUCUGGGGUUGUCUGUAAUAGGCUAAAAGAAACUGCCCACCCACCUUCUGAAACACAUGUGGCCAAAAUGGGAGAAAAACGGAUACAAGCUGCACUCCAGGGAUUAACACCAGAGCAAAAAACAUCCUGAUUGGAAGCUAGAAAGUACAAACUACUGCAGACUGCCCAUCAUUGUGGAAGCAGUAAGGAGCAGGUGUCAUUGGUGAGCCACCAGUGCCAUCGCUGACCAUAUUUUUUUCAUUGCCCAAGAAUCAUUUGCACAAGCACACAAAUGGGCAACUGCACCAUCAACUCACUGCACAUCAAUUUAUCAACAUUACAAUGAAUUUAAUAACAGUAACUGGGUACACUGGCAUGCUAUACAGGAAGUUGAUUGAUCAUGCAGUCAACUGGCCAGUCACACAGGUUGUCUGAUGGGCUUGGAUUGGGUGGGAUGGGGGAUGAUUGGCAGCUGCUCUUGGAGCAUCUGUGCAAUUGUGCACAUGCAUUUGUGAUGGAACAGAAAAAAUAAUGGUGCACCAUAGCUUGUAGCCACAAAAUGCUCCAUUUUAGUGGGUCCUUCCUUGCAGUGGAAGGGAGAUGGUGUGGACUGUGCAUCAGUUCUCAUCCCAUUGUGGGAUUAUGCAAUCAACUGGCCAGUCACACAGGUCAUCCGAUGGGCCACAUUGGCAGGUUCUCCCCAUGAAUCAUAAAAUCCCUAGGGUAAACCAGCUUUUCACUGCGGUCUGCACCCAGCCUCUGUUAGUAGCACAUGACUAACUGGGUAACUGAGGGCCCUGGAUAACUGAGAGUUGUAGUCCAAAACAGCAACAUUUCCAAGUUCUACAGAAAGGUAAACCAAAGAAUAACCCAUCACUCAAAGUGUGGCACCUAAACAUUCACUGUCUCCCUAUCCCAUCAAAAUCCUCCCAGAAUGUGAUCAAACACCUAUAGUGUUUCUUCCUCUGACUGGCUAUCAGGAAACUGCACUAGAUAAAUAUUACUUUAUAAAACAGAUAGGAAUACAGAAUACACAAUAGGUAUGGGUGUCGACUUCACAACAGCAUCUGCAGCUCUCACUACUGACAAUUCAC